AUUGAACGCUGGCGGCAUGCCUUACACAUGCAAGUCGAACGGUAACAGGUCUUCGGAUGCUGACGAGUGGCGAACGGGUGAGUAAUACAUCGGAACGUGCCUAGUAGUGGGGGAUAACUACUCGAAAGAGUGGCUAAUACCGCAUGAGAUCUACGGAUGAAAGCAGGGGGUCGCAAGACCUUGUGCUACUAGCGCGGCCGAUGGCAGAUUAGGUAGUUGGUGGGAUAAAAGCUUACCAAGCCGACGAUCUGUAGCUGGUCUGAGAGGACGAUCAGCCACACUGGGACUGAGACACGGCCCAGACUCCUACGGGAGGCAGCAGUGGGGAAUUUUGGACAAUGGGCGCAAGCCUGAUCCAGCAAUGCCGCGUGCAGGAUGAAGGCCUUCGGGUUGUAAACUGCUUUUGUACGGAACGAAAAGCCCCGGGUUAAUACCCUGGGGUCAUGACGGUACCGUAAGAAUAAGCACCGGCUAACUACGUGCCAGCCGCCGCAGUAACAC
rnacentral:rRNA from 1 species